GAUGAACGCUGGCGGCGUGCCUAAUACAUGCAAGUCGAGCGAAUGGAUUAAGAGCUUGCUCUUAUGAAGUUAGCGGCGGACGGGUGAGUAACACGUGGGUAACCUGCCCAUAAGACUGGGAUAACUCCGGGAAACCGGGGCUAAUACCGGAUAAUAUUUUGAACUGCAUGGUUCAAAAUCGAAAGGCGGCUUCGGCUGUCCCUUAUGGAUGGACCCGCGUCGCAUUAGCUAGUUGGUGAGGUAACGGCUCACCAAGGCAACGAUGCGUAGCCGACCUGAGAGGGUGAUCGGCCACACUGGGACUGAGACACGGCCCAGACUCCUACGGGAGGCAGCAGUAGGGAAUCUUCCGCAAUGGACGAAAGUCUGACGGAGCAACGCCGCGUGAGUGAUGAAGGCUUUCGGGUCGUAAAACUCUGUUGUUAGGGAAGAACAAGUGCUAGUUGAAUAAGCUGGCACCUUGACGGUACCUAACCAGAAAGCCACGGCUAACUACGUGCCAGCCGCCGCCGUAA
rnacentral:rRNA from 1 species